GCUAGUCUUGCCGCAGUCACCAGUUUUGGAGGAAUGGGAGAGGAGCUUUCCACUCCUCUGAGAGUCAUGUCGAGAGUCUGUCUUAGCCCUCGACCCCUCAGUCUUUGUAGAUCUCAUCCCAGAACCCCGAGGGAGAGGUAAUUGCUGAAGGAUUUUUGCUUCAAACAGGCUCUUGUUUGCAUCAAGUGUGGGGUGCAGCAAAGUGGACUCGGGACUGGCCGAUGUCUGGCCAGAAAUGCCAGGCAAGGGAAACAGUGACUCUAGUGGGGUCAGGAGAGGGGCAUCUGCUGGCCCAGGAGCGCAAGGCAGAGGGGUGAGGCGACUCUGAGGCAGGAGGUCCAAGUUUGCUGGACAAUGGCAGAAACAGAAUUCAAACACCUGUCUUCUAGGAGAAGUUCUGGUCUCUCCUCGGUGCUGCGGCUGCCCCGGGAAGAGUUUCCAGGAGCUGACAAGCAUUCAGAUGAGUAAAGAUGGGAUCGGAUUGAGAAAAGGAGAAGGGAGAGCAUAUUCGUUCUCUUUCCACCUCCCUCCCACAGCCUUUCAUGCUGAUCUCAUCUGACGAAGCUGCCUCCUCCUCCCUGGACUCUACAAGCCCCUGUCAUGAUGUUUCUCAGAUCCUGAAUUCCAGCGAAACAGAUGAUACUAACAAGUUUGAAGACCCCCACAGAGGAAUGGAAUCAGUAUGAGAACACAGUUUCUUCAUCUCCCUGUCCCAGAACUUCACCCUGGACUCCUCGACCAAUCAACAAUCUCCACACUUCGGCCCACUCCAAAACUCCUAAAAUCCCAAGCUCCAAACUCCUCUGGGAGAUGGAUUUGAGGCUUCCUCCCGUUUCCUUGUGUGGAAGCCCUGUCAUUAAACCUCUUUCUCUGCUGCAA
rnacentral:lncRNA from 1 species